UCUGUGCUGGAACCUUAUUGAUAACCCACCGGAUUAUAAAUGCCGGCGUAUACAGGGUAAUACAUACAUACAUCGUCAAAGUUUAAGAGAUUACGAAUUUGUACCAACCACAAUAUAUUCAAAAUUUGGCAUAGUUUAGUUAUUUUCUAUCGCUCAGAAUGGUUACAUUGAAAGUUCUGAUGCUCUUGAUCGUAAUCCUGCUGAGCCUUGGUCAGCUUUUGGCUGCUCCUUGGCCUCCAAGAGGUUGCACCUGGUGUGAACCCGAUGAAUAUGAAGAUUACUGAUGAUGAUUUUCUUAAAAACUAAUGGAGGACACUGCCAAAAGCUUACAUAUAUGUACACAAAUAGCUAUACAAACAUAAAUAUCAAAGCAGUGAAUAAAGUUCUAUAAAAAGCUCAAA